ensembl:lncRNA
CCAAAUCCUUCACCCCAAAUUCCAAAUCCUACACCCACAAAAUCCAAACCCUUCACCCCAAAAUCCAAAUCCUUCGCCCCAAAAUCCAAAUCCUUCGCCCCAAAAUUCAUCCCAAAAUCCAAAUUCUUCAUCCCAAAUUUCAAAUUCUUCACCCCAAAUUCCAAAUCCUUCUCCCCAAAAUUCAUCCGAAAACCCAAACCCUUCACCCCAAAAUCCAAAUCCUUCACCCCAAAUUCCAAAUUCUUCAUCCCAAAAUCCUUCAUCCCAAAGUUCCCAAAUACUUCCAAAUCCUUCAUCCCAGAAAACAAAUGUAUCACCCCAAAAUCCUUCACCCCAAAAUCCAAAUCCUUCGCCCCAAAAUCCUUCACCCCAGAAUCCAAAUCCUUCACGCCAAAAUUCAUCCCAAAAUCCAAAUUCUUCAUCCCAAAUUUCAAAUUCUUCACCCCAAAAUCCAAAUCCUUAAUCCCAAAUUCAUCCCAAAUCUCCCAAAUCCUUCAUCCCAAAAUUCCAAACCCUUCAUCCCAAAUUUCAUCCCAAAGCCCAAAUCAUUCACCCCAAAAUCCAAACCCUUCAUCCCAAAAUCCAAAUCCCAAAAUCCAAACCCUUCACCCCAAAAUCCAAACCCUUCAUACCAAAAUCCAAAUCCCAAAAUCCAAACCCUUCACCCCAAAAUCCAAACCCUUCAUCCCAAAAUCCAAAUCCUUCACCCCAAAGUUCCCAAAUGCUUCCAAAUCCUUCAUCCCAGAAAACAAAUACAUCACCCCAAAAUCCAAAUCCUUCAUCCCAAAUCUCCCAAAUCUUUCACCCCAAAAUCCAAACCCUUCAUCCCAAAAUCCAAAUCCCAAAAUCCAAACCCUUCACCCCAAAAUUCAUCCCAAAAUUCCCAAAUCCUUCACCCCCAAAUUCACCCCAAAAUCCAAAUCCUUCACCCCAAAAUUCAUCCCAAAUUCCAAAUCCUUCAUCCCAAAAUUCAUCCCAAAAUCCAAAUCAUUCAUCCAAAAUUCAUCCCAAAUCCUUCGCCCCAAAAUCCAAAUCCUUCACCCCAAAAUUCAUCCCAAAAACCAAAUCCUUCACCUCAAAUUCCAGAUCCGUCACCCCAAACUCAAAAUCCUGCAUGCCAAAGCCCAAAUGCUUCACCCCAAAAUCCAAAUCCUUCGCUCCAAAAUUCAUCCCAAAAUCCAAAUCAUUCAUCCAAAAUUCAUCCCAAAUCUCCCAAAUCCUUCGCCCCAAAGUCCAAAUCCUUCACCCCAAAAUUCAUCCCAAAAUCCAAAACCUUCAUCCCAAAUUCCAAACCCUUCACCCCAAAAUCCAAAUCCUUCACCCCAAAGUUCCCAAAUGCUUCCAAAUCCUUCAUCCCAGAAAACAAGUCCUUCGCCCCAAAAUCCUUCACCCCAAAAUCCAAAUUCUCAUCAAAAAAUCCAAAUCCUUCACCCCAAAAUCCAAACCCUUCAUCCCAAAAUCCUUCACCCCAAAAUUCAAAUCCUUCACCCCAGAAUCCAAAUCCUUCACGCCAAAAUUCAUCCCAAAAUCCAAACCCUUCACCCCAAAAUUCAUCCAAAAACCCAAAUCAUUCAAUCCCAAAAUUCAUCCCAAAAUCCAAAUCCUUCACCCCAAAAAUCCAAAUCCUUCAUCCCAAAUUCCAAAUCCUUCUCCCCAAAAUUCAUCCAAAAACCCAAAUCCUUCACCCCAAAACCCAAACCCUUCAUCCCAAAGUUCCCAAAUCAUUCACCCCAAAAUCCAAACCCUUCAUCCCAAAUUCCCCAAUCCUUCCUAAUCCUACCAAAAUCCCAAAUCCUUCACCCAAAGUUCCCAAAUGCUUCAUCCCAAAUCCCCAAAUCCUUCAUCCCAAAUCCUUCACCCCAAAAUCCAAAUCCUUCAUUCCAAAUCCUUGAUCCAAAAUUCCCAAACCCUUCAUCCCAAAUCCUCAAAUCCUGGGUCCCAAAUCCUUUCAC